AGAGGAAAGGAGGUACAGUUAGGCCGCUGUUUCCUACUGUGCAAUCCCCCAUGCUUCCUGGGCUUAGAACACCCACUGCCCUGGCCCCAGGAUUGGCGGGGGAGGCUUUGAAUAUAAUGCUACGUUCAUAGUAUGUCUGCAUUUUCCGUCACAUCCUUCUUCACAUUUAGCUUAGGUCAGUGGUGGCGAACCUGUGGCACAAAGGCACAUCAGAUAACAGCUGUCUUUUCUAAACUAAAACCUCCGUAUUCAAGUUUAACCAUAGUGCUGGCACUUUGCGAUAAAUAAGUGGUUUUGGGAUUGCAGUUCGGACGCUCAGUCUCUAAAAGGUUUGCCAUCACUGUCCUAGGUGAUCCUGAGCCACAAGCGGGAGGGAAUAGUUCUCCACAGAGAGGGCCUCCCGCUUCCCAUCUGCUCCCACCCAGGCUGAGUGAAGUGUAGUAUCCUGUCUGCACCUCAAGAGCAACUGCCUCAGUUCUCCUAGAAUGAACACACUUGCCCUUUUAAGAGUGGGGCCGGCAAGCAGUGCAGGAGAAGCUGCCUGCUGGAACUCAGGCAAGGAAGGAGCAGGCCUGAAGGGUGUCUCUGUAUGCGUGGGGGGCUUGAGGAUGAACUGCUGCAAGUCUUUGUGUCGCAGUAUUAGAAUGUCACAUUACUUGACUUUCUGGGAUCACCCUCUGUCCUCCUUCCCGGCUUCCCUCCCUCCAGUCUCACCUUUCUACCAACCUCAGAAGCCUCGCUGAAUUCAACUCUGCCCAUCCCCAAUUUAAAAGUCCUCCUCACCUCUUUCCUGCCCGUGGUUCAAAAUCAUUGUGAAACUUAACGUGUCUGCCUCUACCUGGCCCUAUGUUCAUUCAUAUAAAUUGUGACACCAAUCGCACUGAACUGCACCCGAGUUCCUUCAAGCGGGCUUGGCACUCUGGUAUCUAUGCAAACCGGUCCCCUCACCUACGAGGCUCUUUUUCAUGAGACUGGCUAAUUCUCUUAUCUUCUGUGGCUCAGUUCAGAGGGUCCUUCCUUCCUACAUGACCUGGGGCAGGGGACCCUUCUCUGGAGCACCGCAGCCCUUUGCAUGAGUUGAAAUACAGGAAUGGCAUAAAAGAUGUUCCAGAUAUUUGCAGUACCAAGCAGGCCUGUGUGUAGCUGUGAUCCUGACGGGACCUCCUUGGGCACAACGAUGUGCCUGCCAGAAGACCUGGAAAAUGUGUGUCCCUAUGUGACAGCCUGUCUUCAAGGGAAACUCUCUUGGCUCCAGUUCUAGGCUCCGGACAAUCAGAACCAGACUCGGAUCACUUCCUUCUCCAUGUGCAGCUGCUCAGCAAUCAGCAGGAUCUCCUCUGAGACUGCCUUCCCUUGCCCAAGGAGCCUCUCCACACUCGCUGUGGAUCUGACCAAGGUGUGACUGCUGCCUCGCAGGGAGCAAUGAAUGCCUGGGACUCGCUGCACUGUCCCUCCGAGCUUGCAAACGCUCAGGAGGAGCAGCUGGCUCCUUUGCUAAGCGCUCUUUCUCUGGAUCUCUCUCUGGGGAGAGAUCUCAUGUUCUUCUUCGCCUGCCACAAAAUAAAGACUGGCUCUGCCACUGCACUGCCGCGUAGUUUGGGGUAAGCUCCUUAACCGCCCUGGGCGCUGCUUUUCCCUCUGUAGGACAGACACCACUGCUGUUCUGCCUGAUGGGUUGGUGUAGGGUCACAGAUUGUAGAACAUGUAGCACUCCGAUCAAGAGUGUUGAUAAUGGGGAAGGCAAUGUAUGGGGGGGUGGAAGGUGUAUGUGAUCUUGAUCUUUCAUGUAGUUUUGCUGUGAGCUAAAAUCGCUCUAAAAGAUAGGUCUUAAAAAAUUAGUACACAGCAUGUGAAGUACAAGUAUUUAAAAACGGUCAGAGAGGACAAUUAGGGCCACCGACAAAGAAACAAAGCUCUGCCUGUAAGGCUUCAUUGCCCUGAAAAUAAAAAAGGUCUGAGGCAGGUGGUGGGUGCAGUGAGGUCUGUCGUGCAGAUCCCUGACGAUCCAAACCCCUGCAGCCCCAGAGCUUUUGUGGAGAUCAGAAGUUUUUCAGAUUUUAGGAAGCCUGUCUAGGGCACAAAUUAUAAACAGUGUGAUGCCCCAGUCAGGAUCAGGGGUCACCGCAUAAUCAGACACAUUAGUACUUCUGCAGUAGCAGAACCACACCAAGGGGGAUAAGGAAAGGUCAUACACCGCUUCAUGGCAGGCAGGGCAGCUUUUGGUGCCAGUGUUCCAAGAACACCUUGACUUUCGAAGCAUUUUGAAUUUCAGCACUGCAGCCAAGACCUGGAUUGGCCUCUGAACUUUUCAGUCUUUCUGAAACAGUUCAUAUAUAUUUUUUUGGUUCUGGUGCUGGGCAUUGAACUCAGGGGCCCAAGCAUGCUCCAGCACAUGCUCUACCACUAAGCUACUCUCCCACUCCUGCAACCCUGAUAUAUUUUUGAAAGGACUGGAAAAAAUGAAUAGGAAAAAUUUUAAGUGCGUCAAGGGUGUCAGAAGAUUCUUCUUAAAAUCUUAAACCCAGGCAGCAAACUGAAAGCUUUAGAGUCCACGCCGUAGAACACUGAAGUGCCGGGAGAGCUGGGCUCCCACCUAAGGGUGCAAGUGUGAUGGCCGUGGGUCCAGGCCGGCCAGAUAUUCCAGUUUGUGAAGAGAAGCUGAAAAUUGGCCCUUUCUGGGAAUUAAGUUGACAAAGGCCAAAUGGAGCUCAGAGAACUCUCAGUCUCAGGGUUAAAAGAGACCUCUGAGGUAUUCCUAACCUAGAGGCUUGCAACCUUCUGAAAUUUUGUGUUUGUGUAGAUGUACAUUUUGGGGGAAUGGGGAUCAGACCUAAAUCCUUCAUCAGAUUCUCAAAGGAGUCCAUGAGCCUGAAAGGAUUAAGACCCACUAGCCUGGUUCAGUUCAGUCACCUAGCCAGGAAAUGUGCCUUACUUGAGGUCCCACAGCAAAUCAGUGGCAGAGCAGGCUGGGCCCCAGCUUCCCCAGUUGCUAUCUUGGCCCCGUGGCUGUGGAGUGGGCCAGUGGAGAGGAGAUUCACCCCCUCACACCACUCGCACUCCCCCAGUCCUCAGCUGGCCCUGCUGCUAGCUUAGCCUGGAGAAUUCA